rnacentral:rRNA from 1 species
AGAGUUUGAUCCUGGCUCAGAAUCAACGCUGGCGGCGUGCCUUAACACAUGCAAGUCGAACGAGAAAGGGACUUCGGUCCUGAGUAUAGUGGCGCACGGGUGAGUAACACGUGAAUAAUCUACCUUCGAGUGGGGAAUAACUGAGAGAAAUCUUAGCUAAUACCGCAUAAUACCUACGGGUCAAAGCAGCAAUGCGCUUGAAGAGGAGUUCGCGGCAGAUUAGCUAGUUGGCGGGGUAAUGGCCCACCAAGGCGAUGAUCUGUAUCCGGCCUGAGAGGGCGCACGGACACACUGGAACUGAAACACGGUCCAGACUCCUACGGGAGGCAGCAGUGGGGAAUUUUGCGCAAUGGGGGAAACCCUGACGCAGCAACGCCGCGUGGAGGAUGAAGUAUCUUGGUACGUAAACUCCUUUCGAUGGGGAAGAUAAUGACGGUACCCAUAGAAGAAGCCCCGGCUAACUUCGUGCCAGCAGCCGCGGUAAUACGAGGGGGGCAAGCGUUGUUCGGAUUUAUUGGGUUUAAAGGGUGCGUAGGUGGCUUGUUAAGUCAGUGGUGAAAUACAGCCGCUCAACGGUUGAGGUGCCAUUGAUACUGACAAGCUUGAAACAAGUGGAGGUUGCCGGAAUGGAUGGUGUAGCGGUGAAAUGCAUAGAUAUCAUCCAGAACACCGAUUGCGAAGGCAGGUGACUACGUUUGAUUUGACACUGAGGCACGAAAGCAUGGGGAGCAAACAGGAUUAGAUACCCUGGUAGUCCAUGCCGUAAACGAUGAGGACUCGCUGUUGGGCUGUCAAGGUUCAGCGGCUUAGGGAAACCGUUAAGUCCUCCACCUGGGGAGUACGCCGGCAACGGUGAAACUCAAAAGAAUUGACGG